UUGAAACUUAAAUUAAAAAAAAAAGGAAGAGGAGUUUCUCACGUGGAAGGCCUAAUUUAAAUAUAUGACUGGCAAUGAUUGCACGCCUCCAUUGCUACAUCUCCAGGCUCCGGAUAUCUACUUUUGUCAUUGGUGGCAUGAAUUUCAACCUACGGACCUGUAAGAACGAAUCAGUGUGAUCUAUUAUGUAUUUUGUGGUUCCAAUGCUUGCUGUAUUUCUCACUCUGGACAAACGCAUUUGGAUCACUCAGUUCUGGUUAGUUCCUCUUCAAAAUUUGAAUAUAUUCUUUCAGUUUAGUUUCAAUUAAUUCUAAGAUGCUGUACUUAUCCAUAACAAUUACUUGAUCGAUAUGGAUCCUAACUCAUUUGUUGUAUGAUGUGGAUAACAAACUUAUUUGGAGUUGUGAACUGGAUCUAUUAUGGAAAUAGCUGAUGUAUUCUCCUGUAUUAUGCUUAUUGCUAAUGAACUUAUGUUGGUCUUG